GGCCAGACAUAUCUUCAAAGCUUGAUGCACUGUGAGAUGAACGAGGACCUUGCCUGAACAAGCUAACCUUGGCAUUCUGCCCUACAGUGUGGUCAUCUCACUUGCCAAACCUCAGGAGCAUACAGAAAAAAAAGGCAGAGACUGAGGAGGAAGCAGCACUGAUGAGGCCUAGUACCAUCUUCCGCACUGCAGGCUCUCUAAAUCCUAUCAGAAGGGUAACCAGAUUUCCACCAGACCAUCCACCUUCAGAAGAGAAUGUUUCUUUCAGCAAGGGACCCAUGCAACUGAAGAGAGUUUCACCUAAAGGAGGGAGGGUGCCUGUCAGGAGCAAGGAACUGAGUUCUUCCGGAACACCCACACCUGAUGCUGUGGGAGAAGAGAGCAGGCUCAGCUCCUCAUCCAUACACUGCCCCAUCCUGCAUGGCUUGGAGUAGCCCUGGCCCCUGGGUUGUGCCCAUCUGAAAACUGAAGGCCCCUCUGGAGGGCAUUCUUUGCCCACUUGAUUUAUGAUUUGGUUUGUUUAUAAAAAUAUCAUAUUUCAAUGGCAUGUCAGCCGACUGAUCUUCCAAUUCAGAAAGAGGUGGAACCUGUUUCCAUACUGACCAGGAACAUUGGCCUGUAGGCCAGCAGCACUGUCCCUUUCGAGUUUUAAAGGGCUCCUAAGAUCACCAACUGCGUCUUGGGCCUUUGUGAUUGGUUUACAAAUGCCAUGGUGGUUAACAGAAAGCUUUGUCUUGCUCAUUGCUUGUAAACAAAUCCAGCCGGGAGACACUUUCUAUUAGAUAGCUGAGGAGUUCUUAGGGCUGUAAACUGCAAGCACUUGCUGGGUCACUGUCUCCGUGACUGAAAGCUGGGGAGCACUCCUGAGGACACCCCUGGGUCCUCUGCCUUGUGCCUUCCGGGGCCAGUGGCAAACAUCACUUCCGCUCUUCCAUGUGUCUUUCUUCCUUCUUGCCCUAGUGCAAUCCAGCCUGUCUGUCUCUUGUUCUGAAGAAAGGUGCACAAUAUCUACAGAUUGUUCAGUUGACUUUUAAGCCUAUCUGAAGUUAGUUACAAUAAACAGACCACUACUAAUUGAUGGUCAAAUCUUGUGGGCGGGCAAUGACCACUUAGUAAAUAAAGCGAG
rnacentral:lncRNA from 1 species